rnacentral:rRNA from 1 species
AUGGAGGGAGCUCCCGUGACCGCAGCCACGGGGGCCUUGGGCCCCGUCGUAGCCAAGUUGGGUGCUCUGCUGGGCAGCCAGUACAAGCUUCGGCGCAGGACUCGCAAGGACGUCAAGUUCAUCAAAUCCAAGCUCAAGUCUGUGCACUCUAUCCUUUGGGCGAUAUGGGGGAAGGAGACUCUUGAUGCGCAAUCCAAGGAGUUGAAGAAGGAAGCGCUGGAUCUCACCGAUGAUAUGCACGACGCCAUCGACGACUUCAUCCUCACCAUGGAGCCCAGCCGUCGAAACAAGCACAUGAAGAUACAGAUCAAGAUGCAAGCAAGCCCCUUCCAAGAUUUCAGGACAAGAGUAGAUGAUGUGUCAGCCCGGUGCCGCGGCAAGUGGAAGUGGGAGAAGAACAAGUGUGCUCAACCCAUCUCCAGCUUAUUUUCAAGAAGAAACGCCAAUUCCAGCGCCUCCAGCAAACCGCCUCCUCCUCGAGCUCCAUUUGUCCGGAAGGAUGCAUCAAAGCUCGUCGGUCUGGACACAUGGAGGAAUGAUCUCAUCAGAUACCUGGUAGGAGAUGAAGAGACCACAACGGUGCAGCCGCAGCUCAAAAUGGCAUUCAUUGUUGGAAUGGCCGGUGUGGGGAAAACAACCCUUGCCAGCCUUGUUUACGAGGAGAUUGGAAAUAAGUUCCAGUCCCGGGCUUUUGUGUCUCUCACUCCAACUCCCAACAUGAAGGAGGUUCUCACGAGUACUCUCCGACAAGUAGGAGUUGAACCACUUGCUGGUGCCGAAGCAAGGACAGAGGAAGAUAUCAUCCACACCAUAUCGAAUUUCCUAGAGGACAAAAGGUACCUAGUAAUAAUUGAUGACAUAUGGCAUCGUGGAGAAUGGGAGAUCAUCAGCAAGUCUUUUCCACAAAAUACUCUGGGCAGUAGAAUUGUCACGACAAGUCGUAUUGAUCCUAUACCAGGAGAUGAUUUGGAUAAUAACAAGUUCUACAUCAAUAUGAAUCCUAGAUGGGAUUUUUUUAAUGGAAGAUGGUUGUACCGGCCUGAUAGAUUCCUCUACGCAACUGAUGAGGAAGAUGUGGCUGCUCGGAUGAAGCCUGACAUGGUUGGAGAAGGUUUUGACUGUGACCAUCCUAUUGUGCGCAUGUGUGGUGGUGUCCCGUUAGCACUACUUUGCAUGUUUUCAGCAAUGGCAAUGGUCCGACAGCAACAAGAACAACUAGGGGUACAUGUAAAGGUACGUGAUGUGCAAGAUAUGAUUGAGAAGCAAGUUAAGCAAAGUGGAAUUCAGAACACUCCAGGGUACGAACCGUUGGUACAGAGCUUGCAGCUUGGCUACGAUGAUCUUCCUCACCAUAUGUUGAAGACCUGCUUGUUGUACUGCAGUGUAUACCCUGAGAAUUACCCUAUUCACAUGAAUGAUUUGGUCAUGCGAUGGGUUGCUGAAGGAUUUACUUAUAGUGAGGAUGUAGCAAAAGAUUACCUCAAAGAGCUUGACAACAGGGGGUUCAUGUUGCGGACCCAUGACGUGGCCUACCGGAUGAAUCCGAUGAUACGAAAUUUCCUUAGAGGGAAAUCCCGUGAAGAUAAUUUCAUUACUUGCAGUUCGGACAUCACAUUGGCAUAUGCAUGCCGAAUCCAUCGGCUAUGUGUCGACAAUGAUCUAGUUGAUGAUGGUGCGGUGGAGGUGGUGGAUACCUUGUUGGAACUGGAUUGGUCCCAGAUUCGAUCUCUUGUUGUUUUUGAAGGUGCUAAGAGAUAUGUCCCUUUUGAGAAGUUGGAACGUGUGCGGGUGUUGGAUCUUCAAUAUCACCAGCAUCCUCUUCUCGAGUCUAGAUGGGAUCCUUUACUGGAUGUUGGAUUCAAGGCCCUUGGAAAUCAGCAUUCGAAGGAUAUAUGUGGACUGCUCUCUGUGAGGCAUCUAUUCGGCCUACAAGGGACAAAAAUCAGUGAGAUACCACCAGAAAUAGCAAGGCUGCAGCAUCUGGAGACUUUGCAGGUAAGAUCCACAUGGAUCACAGAGUUACCUUGUGAAAUUGGGGACCUACAGCAGUUGAAGACUCUGGACCUGAGCUAUAACGACAGGCUUAGGGAGCUGCCACGUGAGAUUGGGAACCUCCAGAAUUUGGAGAAUCUGAACCUGCAGUACACCAAGCUCACAGAGCUGCCUCGGCAGACUUGGAAGUUGAAGCAUUUGAAAACACUGGAGGCGGGUUACACAAGGAUCACAAGGCUACCUAGUGAAAUUGGGGACCUGCAUCAUUUAGAGACCCUGGACCUGCGUCACAACUGGGGGCUCACACAGCUGCCUCGUGAGAUGUGGAAACUGCAGAAUUUGAAGCGGCUGCUCUUGAGUGGUACAGGGGUGGUGAAGAUACCAAGGGAAAUCGGAGGGCUGAAGAAGCUGGAGAUUUUGAAAUUAGACGACACCAUCGGUGCACUGCCUUGGGAAGCUAGUCAGCUCUUGAAAUUGGAGGGAGUGCCCGAGUGCGUCCGCCAAGCCUCGAAGAAGAGUGAUCUUGUAUCUGAGUUAGCCGGGGAGAUCUUGUCCAUUCGACUGCUCCGUUGGGUUGGUGACAGGGGUGGCCUAAUCGUUGGCAGAAAAGACAUGGGAAUUCCAUGGUGGAUCAAGGAUCACUUCAACGACCUUGGCUCCUUGGAUAUCAGGAUAUGCAAACUGGAAGAGCAGCGGGAUCUCAAGAUUCUGCGGGAGAUGCCCAACCUGGACAAACUGACGCUAAGGUUUGAGGUCGUCCCAAGAGAGCCCAUAGCCAUCAGCAGUGAAGGGUUCCCGAGGCUCGGGGAUCUGGUUGUUGACUGCCGCGUUCCACGGGUUAUCACCUUCCAGGAAGGAGCAAUGCCGAGGCUGUAUGGGCUUGUGUUCAAGUUCCAGUUCUACGGUGGCCCACCAAAUAAACAUCCCAUGGGCAUCAAGCACCUCCGGCGCCUCAAGUGGGUCGAGUUUAGAUGCAACGAGGAAUGGUAUGGAGAAGCAGCAGAGAGCAGCCCGUGCAUGAGCGCCAUGAUUGACGUCGUGAGGAAAGAAGCCCAGGAGCAUCCCAACGAGAUCUACUUUCGUGUCCCUGGCCGCGAGCUUGAGACUUUUCCAGCCAAGGAGAGCUUGGCGCGGGAGGUUUCCAGCAGUGUGACUGACACUGAGAUGAAGAGUGAGGAGAAGAAGAGCGCGCAGGAGGUUUGCAGCAGCAGCAGUGCGGGGACGAUCGAGAUCAAGGAAGAGGAGGAGGAGGAGGAGAUCCUGGAACUGGAAGCAGCAGCCAGCAGCGUGAGUGGGUUUCUUCCUUGA